UCCCUGGAGGAUUAGUGGUUAGGCCACGGCGCUCUCACUGCCGCCACUGCCCGGGUUCGAUUCCUGGCCAGAGGA